rnacentral:rRNA from 1 species
UACGAAGGGUGCAAGCGUUACUCGGAAUUACUGGGCGUAAAGUGUGCGUAGGUGGUUGUUUAAGUCUGCUGUGAAAGCCCUGGGCUCAACCUGGGAAUUGCAGUGGAUACUGGGCGACUAGAGUGUGGUAGAGGAUAGUGGAAUUUCCGGUGUAGCAGUGAAAUGCGUAGAGAUCGGAAGGAACAUCUGUGGCGAAGGCGACUAUCUGGGCCAACACUGACACUGAGGCACGAAAGCGUGGGGAGCAAACAGG